AUUUGAUGUUUUUUCAAAAAGCUUGCAUAACUCCUUUUAGCUCUAUAUUUCUCUCAAAUUCUCCUUUAAAAAGAGUCUCACCACUCUAUUCCAAGGUUUGAGAAUAGAUAGGAAAACGUCUCGAUGGUCGUCAUUGGAGCUAAUUGAAGAAAUUUGAAAAGCUACAAAGGGGUGGUGGUUGUAUUUGGACUAUUGAGAUUCAUGAAGUUUCUUAAAGGAAAAGAUGUCUUUUCAAGCUUGAAGGGAUGCAACUCUUCACCAAGUGCUUUUCACGUGCACUCCGUGAUCACUUAUUUCUAUAUCAUUCUCUACUUCUUCGAAAGGAUUCGUCGUCGAAUUCAAAUCACCUACAUCAAAAAGUGAUAAAUGAGCAACAUCAAAGAGGGAUAAAUGAGCAACAGCAAAGGUAGCACUCGCAUUAUAUUUACCAAGAAGAUCAAUUUUGUAUGCAUUGUCAUUUAUCUUUUCCAAAACGUGAAAUGGCUCAACUCCCAUGGAUGUAACUUGGACUUUCUUUGGUUUGGAAAACGUCCCUUUUGGAAGUAAAUCCAAACCCAAUCUCCAGUUUUAAAAUUAGAGGC